GCCUUUUCUUGAGCCGCUCCCGCGGCAUAUGGCGGUUCCCAGGCUAGGGGUCUAAUCCGAGCUGCAGCUACCAGCCUAUGCCGGAGCCACAGCAACGCGGGAUCCGAGCUGCGUCUGCAACCCACGCCACAGCUCACGGCAACGCCGGAUCCUUGACCCACUGAGCAAGGCCAGGGAUCGAACCCGCAACCUCAUCGUUCCCAGUCGGAUGCGUCAACCACUGCGCCACAACGGGAACUCCUAAUAGUCGAUCCUUUUAAAAAUAGUUUUAACCCUGAGAUAAUUAGAGAUUCCCAGGAAGUUGCACAGAGAGCAGAGAGAGGCCCCACGUCCUCCGGUUUCCGGUAAGAGCUGGUCCCAGGUAAACUACGGCGCAGCAGCACAAAUUGCAUCUUUUCGUGGGAGUGAACAGAAGGCGUACCCACCCCUCGGUGCCCCGUCAAAGGCCUGGCCGGUUUCACCAGCUGUUGGUUGACCUUCAAACGCGGUCCGUCCGGCCCCGAAGCAGGAGUGUGUUUUGUGUCAGCACAGCUCCGUGACAACUGCAUGCGCAGAAGGCUCGCGUACUGACCCGCCGUGGGGACAGCGCCUCACCCCCUCAAUGUAUGCGGCGACGACCGCUGGUCCUUCUGCAGCCACUAAAGCGGCAUUUCCUUCGGGCCCGACCCUGACUCUCAGGAAGGGGACAGAGAAACAGGGCAGGAGCCAGGCUGACCGAAGCCCCAUAAAAGGCUCUGUUUUGUCCUGAUACAGAACUUAGGUCAUGUGGCCACGUGUCCCUCCCUCCAGGCCGUGAGUCUGGCGGGGCGCUCGUGUCCACACCCGAAUCAAAACCCAGGGCUGAGGACCUGGGCUUUCCCGCCCCAUCACGCUGCCCUGGCCCCUGCGGGCGAGGCCGGGGUGGGGCAGCCUGGCUCCCUCUCGCUCUCCUGGGGCCAUGGCCAGCGGCUCAGGUCAGCAGGGGACCUGGCCCUCCCCCCAUGGCUGCUUUCUGGCACCUCUCUGCUGAAAGGACCUUAGAACUUGUGGAAUUUUCUUUCGGGUGUUUAGAACCUGUUCUCGGAGGCAGUUUGGAGGAGGAAAGGAAGCAGGCCCCAGCCGUCUGGGCGAGGGCUGCUGGGAGACCAGCCAGGCCCUCAGUGGCCUCCUGGCGGCUGUGGCCGGUGGCGAGGCAGCCUGAUCUUUAGAUGCUGGCAGCCAUCAGGGUUGAAAAAAGACCCUGCCGGGAAGCAGGACUGACUUGUUGCUCUUACUGCCUGGAAUAAAGUUUCCUCCUGGAGCAAAACGUCAUGAUGAGGAGGCGAAAGACGGCACUGCCCCUCCCUCGGCUCCUUCCCUGGUCUCCGUGCUGGCCUGUAACCCUCCAUUCUCCUCUGCUCGGAAGGGAAGAGCUUCCUAGAGCAUUUCCGACGAGGAAGGAUGACUGGUGACACAUGCCCCCGUUUUGGAUUGUCUGAGAAAGUCUUUAUUUCCCUUAACUUUUGAAGGACACUUUUGCUGGAUACAGAAUUCUGGGAUGGCAGGAUUUUUCUUUCAACCCUGUGAACAUGUCACCCCGCGGUUUCCAUGGAGACGGAGGCUGAGACUCAGCACCACCGCCCUGGGGAGGGCGCCUGUCAGGAUCUCCUCCUCGGCUCCCCCGUGGCUCCAGAUCCCACGUGGCCCCCGCUUCCUCCACUUCCAGUCUCCCGACAGGUCCCCCCACGGCAGGCUUGGCAAGUCCCACCCUCUGCAGCUGUCCUGUUCCGGCGGGGGGUGUACCAGGAGAGCUGACCCCCCACUUGGGCCCCCAGGACCGGGGCCUCGGAAUUUUUAAGGACGGGGGUCUCCAGGCUCUUGUCCAACACGAUUUGAGAGUCCAUCUUCCCGCUGCGGCUCGGCCCUGUGCUCGGAGCUCCCGCACAUACUGUUUCACUAAUUCUUUGUUUUAUCAUUAAAAUUUUUUUUAAUUAUAGUUGAUUUACAAUGUUGUGCCAAUUGCUGCUGUAGAGCAAAGCGACCCAGUCACAUGUAUAGUGUGUGUGUGUGUGUACGCGCGCGCACAUGUGUGCACGUGUGCGUGUGCGCAUGUGUGUAUGCACGUGUGUGUGUGCACACGCGUGUGUGCACGUGUGUGUGCACGUGUGUGUGUGUGUACACGUAUAUAUGCCUUUUCUCAUGUGAUCUUCCAUCCUGAUCUAUCCUCAGAGGAGACUGCAUAGAGCUCCCUGUGCUGCACGGUAGGACCUCCUGGCUUAGCCACUCUAGAUCUAACAGUUUGCAGCUCCCGAGCCCUGUCUCACUCACUCUUCACGGCACCUAACAGGCCGACGGCUUCUGAGGAAGGGGUUCUCAAAGCGACCUCACGAGCGCCAGCCCCGGGAACUUGUUAGAUGCACAGUUUUGGUCCCACAAAGACCUGCUGACUCAGAAACUCGUGGUGGGGGUGACCCUGUUUCAUUCACGCCCAUGCAUCUUCCCACAGCCACGUGCCCUGGGGUCGCCGCAUGUGGGCGCAUCAGGAGAGGGUUAAAGGAUGAGGCAGUCUCGCCUCCGGCGUGGACGGAACGCAGUUGGUUUCGGGUCGAGCCAAAUCCCCGUGCCGUGCCCCGUUUCAUCACAAGGGGGACGCUGCGUUGAUUCGCAUUCUGCAAACCUCUUCAGUUUGAGACCCUCUGAUCAACGGCCUUCCGGCCACACCCGGGCUCUCCAUGCACCCCCAAGGCCAGCUGUUGACCCAGGCCCUCCUGAAGCUCUCUCCACAGCAGCGCUGUCCUUCUUCCCUUGACUGCGACCUUGAACACGUCACAGGCGCUUCCGCCCUACGUCUCCCUAAUCUGGAAAACCAGAAAACAACUUAUCUGCUGCAUCAGGGGCGCUUAAGGACGGGUUUUGAUAAGUGAGAGAAAAGGGCAUAAAACUAAGAGCAUCAGAUAGGCGUUUGUAAGCUGCUUUGAGAAUCACCUUGCGGAUUUAUCUUUAUAACCCCGAACCCUAUAAAUCACUCAGAAAUCGACUCACAAAAGUGUGCCCUGGUCACCCUUUGAGACUCUGCUGAAGCGGCCCAUUUGGGGAACUAAGCUUCCUUCUUCUUAAUGCAGAGCACGAGGAAGGGUUGGCCUUGUUUUAUUAGCAAUUGCAUUUGUAUGUUCAUGCGGCAAAGCCCCUUUCACAGGGUGGGGCCGAAAAACCCGUGUCCUUGGGCCUGGCCACGGGGAGUGCCGCCCACGGGAGGGCCCGCAGGACAAGCGCUCCCUGAGAUGCUUGCCUUGCAAUUGGAUUCACUCACACACGUGUCAGGCCUAACUUUGGUCCAAGAAUGUCCUAGAUGCCGGGCUGUCUCCACGGCAGCCUCAGCGGGACACGAACAUCCGUCACGAGGGUCAUGUCGCCGUUUCCUCCUGAGAGUGGAUCCAGCCACUUAAAACAAUGAUGUGAAUUUAUGACACGGUUUACUAGGGAGUCGAGCGCCCCACCGCCCGAGGGUGGGUAGCGUACAGACCGCAGAGCCGGCAGCGCCCGCCGCGGGGAAGGGACGCACGCGACAAGCACGUGGCGCUCGAUGGGAACACGGCUGUCCACCGCCGGUCCACUAAGACCAAGCAGAAAAGGAGCCACAGAAGAGCAGUUUCGCCUGGAUACUGGGCUGAUGGAUGAUUUCCUUUCAUUUUCUCACCUUUUCUACCGUGAAAAUCUAGUAUGUACUUUAAAAAGGUUAAAGAAAUGGUGACCCUGACUCGGACCUCGUGUCUCCGGCUCCCUCCCCUCCCUCGGUGGUUGCGGGCUGCAGGCCCAGCCCCGACUUCGCUAAGCGAAUGCGUGGGAGGUGGGCUGUUGUCCUGCCAGCACCCCUCCCCCCUUUCAUGGGGCCCCCUCUCCUCUGAGCGUCAUCUCGGCAGCAGGGCGAUUACAGGGACCCGUCGCUCACGCCAGAGCCCAGGUCUCGCUCCCGAACACACGAAGCUCUGGGCACCUGCCCCCCACGGUCUCGACGUGGAGGGGACUCAAAGAGAAACACCCCUCUUUACACGGCGUUUAAGGCCAACGGAACAGAGGGGAGUCUGAGAGGUCAAAACCGCGACGUCGCUGGAAAAUAAAUGAGCACAGAUGGCAAACGCAUCGGGCCUCUCGAAUUAGAGAAGAGGAGGUUGGUGGGAGUCGCCCACAGCGCGGUCAACCAGAUGGCCCUUAGGUCACCUGCAACGGGGAGGUGACCUAUCCAAGGUCGCAGGGCUUCUUCGAGGUGAGGCCAGAGUUCUGGCCCAGGUUCAAGUCCACACCCAGGCGCUGGUCUGAACUAAGUUGCUGGUCAUAAGGGAUUUACUGGGGAGCCGCAGAAAGGACACCAGCACCGUCACAGACGCCCCCUUGUUCUUGGGAGGCUGCGCACUCUGCACACGGGUCUGGGGGAGCCAUGCGAGACGCAACACCCAUGACCUUGGAAAUUGACCUCUGAGAGGGCAACUGUCUUUCCCCAAAUACAAAGACCCAGCCAGGAGUUACUGCACGAUCCCAGCUCGCUCAUAAAAGACCCGAAAUGCCCUCUCUGUGGUGUGGUCCUGGCUGCGGUUGGUCCUGGGUAGAACUAACCUCGAGGGCCACGUCGGAACAUAAUUGCAUAGACAGCCCUCGUCCGGGUGUGUUGACUAAAACCCUUGCUAUUGUCUAAAUGAAACAAUCUCACGCCCGUGAGAGAGGCUGAGUUAAUUGUCAGCGCUUGGGAAAACUACCAAAAUACUACUUAUUUCUGAAUUAGCCCCACGGAAGACCUGUAGUUAUUACUACCUUUAGGUAUGGAAACAACCCUUUUAGAAUACAGUAUAAAUACAGCAUGUGGCUGAUCACGCGUUGAUGCCGAAAUACAGCUUCUCUAAAGGUGAAAAUGGGCCUCUCAUCAAAACGAUGUCCUAUUACUUAGAACAGUGCCUGACAUCCAGGAGAGGCUCAAUAAGUGUUUUUGGGGGGAACAAAUGAUGACAUUCUUAAUAAUACAACUUCCUGGCUAAUUUUGGGAUGAACCGGCUAACGACCAGGUCAGCCGGCGUUUGCGUGUGCUGGCAGCCCUCUGGCACACACAUGCUCUUGUCCACACUCAACCGUAAAUGUACGUCACACGCGGUGUGCAAACACAGCAGCCGCUCCACGAGUAUGUGCUCUGCACACUGUCAACUGGGUGCGAGGCAUCGUCCUGAGCUGCAGGAAUUCGGUUGUAACUAAAACCCCGUCCUGGUCCUCACAGAGCUUACAUGCUGGUGGAGAAUCGUCUUGAACGACGGCCAGAGAGUUUCCGAAGGGGAGAAAGCGCAGAGGGGAGAGAACACGGCCGUGACAGAAGGGUGGAUAGUGGGGUGGGGUGGGAAUUAAUUCUCACUGAGGUGAUCAGGGCGGGCUUCUUGGAGGGGGUGAGCUUCCUGAAGGCAGAAGACGAGCUUGCCAGGUGAAGCAGAGGGGAGACGGCAUUCCGGCAGCAAUGAGCUGGAGAGUCUGAGCUGGAGAUCCUGCGGCUAGCCAGCGCUCGGCCUGCUCAGGAAAUCAGAGGCAUCCCCGAGCCGCAAACGCAGUGGCCACGUGGGAAAUCAGCCCGAGUGCAGCCGCCAGCUCAUGGAGGACCUGGGGCCAUGCUGAAAGCCGGGGCUCCCUCCCCUCUGUGCGACGAAGAGCUAUGGAUGGAUUUUAAGCAAAGCGGUGAUGUGGCCUAAUAUUUGCAAUAAAAUAUUGACUGGUCAGGCAGCGGCAUGGAGAUCAGACUGCAAGAGGCGAGAAGAGGCGGCACGUGGGCCAGAUACCAGGAAAGGGAUGAGCCACCCAGGAGAGCAGGGCUGGGUGCUGCUUAUUUC
rnacentral:lncRNA from 1 species